ensembl:lncRNA
AUUCCAUCAGUGUUAAACUUCCCAGUUCAUCUUGGAAGAGUACGUGCCAGAAAGACCACGACCAAGCAGCCUUGAGAUCUUAGGCAGCGUCUCCCUCAGACCAAAGAACUACAGACUCUUCACAACCUGCUCAAACUCUUGGUACAGGAUCUCACCACACGGGUCAAGAAGGUUGCUUUGUAGAACUGUUCCAGAAAACCUCACUAAACCACAUGGAGGGGCCUCAAGAUAGUCGUCCAAAUGAAACCGUACAAAAACCAAACUGGCACAACCCAAACGCUAAAGUCUCCUGCAGUCUACCAGAGAACCUCUUUAAACAGAGAAUCAGGACAGGAACUCUUACCUUCUGGACAACCAACGUGUGUAUGUGUCUGACCAAAAACCUCUAAAGACUCACUACAGCCAAGAUAAAGACAACUCAGCUGCACCAAAUCCACUAAUCACUGCAAACAUUAGCACCAUGUGCUAACUGUGGCUAAAGAACCACAUGUACCAAGACAAGUAUCCAGUACAAAGCCCUAAAACACACCAAGAAACACAUUAAAGCCUAUUUUACUGCUGGAAGCUGCAAGCUAACGCCUAAAGAACAAACUAAAGCAAUGGAGCCAAACCCGGUUCAGUGGUGAAGAGAAACAGAGUAAAUGUUUGAAUGCAGCUAAAUAAAGCAGGAAGACACAGAGCUGCUCAG